rnacentral:rRNA from 1 species
GACGAACGCUGGCGGCGUGCUUAACACAUGCAAGUCGAACGGUGACCCAGGGCUUGCCCUGGUGAUCAGUGGCGAACGGGUGAGUAACACGUGGGCAACCUGCCCCUGACUUCGGGAUAACUCCUCGAAAGAGGAGCUAAUACCGGAUACGACCACUUCGGACAUCCGAUGGUGGUGGAAAGUUUUCGGUCAGGGAUGGGCCCGCGGCCUAUCAGCUAGUUGGUGGGGUAAUGGCCUACCAAGGCGACGACGGGUAGCCGGCCUGAGAGGGCGACCGGCCACACUGGGACUGAGACACGGCCCAGACUCCUACGGGAGGCAGCAGUGGGGAAUAUUGCGCAAUGGGCGAAAGCCUGACGCAGCGACGCCGCGUGAGGGAUGAAGGCCUCGGUUGUAACUACUUUCUAGCAGGGACGAAGCGAAAGUGACGGUACCUGCAGAAGAAGCACCGGCUAACUACGUGCCAGCAGCCGCGGUAAU